UUUUCUUUAUUAGACAGGUUGGACUCUUUCUCAACUCUCACAAAACAAUGUAAUAACAUCCAACAGUCGCACAAUAAGAGGGCAACAGCUAGGAAGAAGGUGAUGAAGACAGGUGUGGGAGAGGUGCUGCCCUUCAUCAAGUGGAUUGUGUACAGGAAAAUCAGGUGACCCGGUACGACAAACAGGAGCAGCACCUGUGCAGAGCGAUGAUUGGCUCCUGUCAGAGGUAGAUAUGGUUAACUGACAGAUAGAAUACACCUGACAAGAGAACAUUUAAUUCCUUUUGUGUUCACAGGUAUGUUAAAGGGACUGGUCAUGUGCAUGAGCCUGUCUACAUGUGCGUGUCAUUACCUGAGCCACAGAAGGUCCUGCAGGGGUUGUAGCAGCUCCUGCGAUCCUCAGGCACCUGCCUCGGUGGGCAGUGGUGGUACAGAUCAGUGGCUAUACGACUGGACUGGAUGGCAACCAGGUUCCCCCCAAUACCUAGAUUGAGAUGAAGAAUACACAAUGAUCAUACAUUUGGAGAGAUCUUGUGACUUACCAUUUUCUUGAAGGUUCCUGAAUGUAUGCUUCUAAAAAUCCAGAUCCUUGUCUCACCAUUCAUAACUGGCGUGUAGACUAUCAUUCCCACCAUGUUCGGGUCUGAUACAGUUGUGUCCAAGAUGAGUCCUCCGAUACUAGAGAAAAAUACUUAUUAAAGGAUGGUAUUUCCAUUUGAAUGCUGUGACUGGACUUCAGGGCCACAGAACAGGGAAGCAGACCUGCUGAUGACCAUGGCAGUGAUGAUUGGUUCCCAGCCUGUGUAGAGUAGAAUGCGACUUGCUGGGUUUCUGGAGGAGACGACCACCCACAGAGGGGUCAGUCCGAGGAAGAACAGACACACCAGGUACGGCACAUAGGGAUACAACUCUGUGUGGAGACAAGGAAAGGAGCAGACACACACUAGCUAAACAAAUAUAGUUGAUAGCUAGCCAGAUGAGUCAGAGCUAUAAAUGUAGCUAUGACAUUCCAGUAAAUGGGCCCAGACUGCCCCCUAGUGGCCGAAAGCUAAACCUCUUGAUUUAUACCUAUGCAUUCGUAGAGCCCCUGGCUCAGGCAGGCCAGGAUGGCCAGGGUGAUGAGGUCACCAAAGCUGGCAGCGAUGGGCGUGGCCACGUUGUCUGGGUUGAUGCCAAUCCUCUUGGAGCCGGUGAUCACUCCCACCAUGAUGAUCCCUGGGAGAAAACACAGUCGAGUCAGAUUCAGGCUACUGUUCAGUUGCACAACUCUCCAACCAAGGUGCAUGAAUUGAGCAGCCAAGAGUUGAACGGAUGAAAGUAAUGUGGUGACAGCUGGGAGAAGCGUCAGACUGGGGGAAGGGACAAGGGACUGUAAUGGCCAACAGUGGUAUUAUUCACUUCCGCUUUUAUCAAGUGGUAAAUGCAAAUCAAAUAUCUGUAAACACAGAUGGUCAAGUUGAAUUAGUUGAUGCAUAUUUACAUUCCAAGGCAGAUAAAAUAGCAUGUUAUUCUGUGGACCGAUCAGUACCCAUCAUUCCAAUGAAAAUGAACCACAUGAAUAAUUCAUUUGGGUGUCCUAGCUAGAUCACAAACUCUGCCUUACAGAGUCAGGUCUGCCUUUCAGAUCCCAAGCAUUGGUUUUAUUUGAGACAUAACAAAAUGGUUUUGCAACAAAAAGGUCUGAUACAGAAGAAACCUACAAUGUCAGUUGUAGCUAAGCUUCCUGGUCUCAGAUUAUUAUAUUGUGUACGUCUCAAAUAGAAAGAGCAUUCAGGCUUUUCCAGGAAUACAGCAGAAGUGUACAGUUUUGCAAUUAAGUUGGAAUAAUUGUACAUGUAAAUGGAUGAGUAAGAGAUAAUGUGCCUCAGAGAGAGGUUAUGGUAGUUUAUGUAGAAAAAAAUACUAUAGUAUACUAUGGUCUAAAUACUGUAGUAUUACUAUAUUUAUAUACUAUAGUAUUCACUGUACGGUUUUUGCAGACUUUACUGUAGUGUUCACUGUAGGACAGCAGGUAGCCUGGCGGUAAGGAGUGUUGUGCCACUUGCCCUUGAGAAAGGCAGUUAACCCUAAUUGCUCCAGGGUCGCGUCAAUAAUGGCUGAUCGUCCGUGACCCCACUCUCUCAGCGGGAGUGAGAUAUGCGAAGAAAAAACAUUUCCAUAUUACACCUCACAUCUGUACAGGUUACCCACUUAUACAUAAAGUGAAGAGGGCACGACAAAACCUAUUCCCCCUCAGGAGACUGAAAAGAUUUGGCAUGGGUCCUCAAAAGGUUUUACAGCUGCACCAUCGAGAGCAUCCUGACGGGUUGCAUCACUGCCUGGUAUGGCAACUGCUCGUCCUCUGACCGCAAGGCACUACAAAGGGUAGUGCGUACGGCCCAGUACAUCACCGGGGCCAAGCUUCCUGACAUCCAGGACCUCUAUAAUAGGCGGUGUCAGAGGAAGGCCCUAAAGAUUGUCCAAGACUCCAGCCACCCUAGUCAUAGACUGUGCUCUCUGCUACCGCAUGGCAAGCGGUAACAGAGUGCCAAGUCUAGGUCCAAGAGGCUUCUAAACAGCUUCUACCCCCAAGCCAUAAGACUCCUGAACAGCUAAUCAAAUGGCUACCCAGACUAUUUGCAUUGCCCCAUCCUCUAUGCUGCUGCUACUCUGUUAUUAUCUAUGCAUAGCCACUUUAAAAAUCUCACCUACAUGUACAUAAAUACCUCAAAUACCUCGACACCGGUGCCCCCGCACAUUGACUCUGUACCGGUACCUCCUGUAUAUAGCCCCGCUAUUGUUAUUUACUACUGCUUUUUAAUUAUUUGUUAUUCUUAUCUCUUACUUUUUUGGGGGGGGGUUUCUUAAAACUGCAUUGUUGGUUAAUGGCUUGUAAGUAAGCAUUUCACUGUAUUCUGCGCAUGUGACAAAUACAAUUUGAUUUGAAACAGGACCAUAUAUUAUAUAGUGUUUUUGCGGACAUGACUGUAGUAUACUAUAGUAUUUACUAGUGAUUGCCAUUAAUUACAUAUGUUCAUUGCUGUUAUUGCCCGUUAUUAUUUGCACCUUUGUGUCCUUUUAGAUAAACCAUACUACAUACAACGCCAACCAAGUCUCCAUUCAAGACAAGCAUCUCAUGUCUACAACUGUCAAUCAUUCCCUGCCAUGUAUCAUCUCCAUUACCGGAAUCUAGCAAGACUUUUAAACUGAACUGCAUCUCUGCCUCCAGCUGCUCAGUAGAUGGGCAUCACCGUAACCCUCACCUAAACCUCAGUGUUUCCCUUGGAGACCCUUAUUAUUGGAGGACAUGUAGGAAAUGUAUAAAAGCACCCCGUGGUCAUGUUCAGGUGAGAGCUUUUUACUGUGAAUGUCCUUUGUGUGUACAGGCUGUAUGGUGUUGCUGGUGGUUUAUUUCUGCGAGGAACCAUUUUGUGACUAUGUUGUCUUGGAGAAAUGUUUGGGGUGUAGUCGAUUGUUCUGAAUGGUAUAUGUUGACUUUGACCAUCAGUGAGUUUUUCCCUGAGUGACAAUAUAUCCGAUUUUCAUUAUGUAAGGCCACUGCAAUCAUGGCCUUCUAUUUGAAGUCACUUUGUUUGGAGCGGCGUUGCUGGUUUGAGGUACAGGCUGUGCGUUGCUGGUUUGAGGUACAGGCUGUGCGUUGCUGGUUUGAGGUACAGGCUGUGCCCUCCAAAAAGGGCUCUGUCUAAGUAAAGUCAUUUCUAUUUCUACAAUAUCUAUUGUUUAUGUCAAUUCUGUGGUUAACUGUUCUUUCUUUUGUACCUUCAGAAGUACAGAAUUGUUUGUCACUGUUUUUGGUAAUCUUCUGAACUAGGUCAAUGGAAUUUCUGUGAAAGCACUCUUGUAUUUCAGAAAGCUGUCUAGUGGAAGUAACAGAUCUAUGAAGUCAUUUUGGUGUACUCUUGUUAAUGUGUGUUAUUUAUCUGUGUCAAACAAGCAAACCUAAUCCUCAGUUUUACUGAACUUUGCUUGUUCUUUAUCUGCCUCUGUAGUGUUUUCCUUUAAUGGGUCUAGAACCUGUGUCUAAUGUGUCUUAUGUUCUGGUUUAGUUGUUCCCCUAAUGAAACAGUAACUGGGGUAGUCUUGAAGUUGUGCCAGUUUAGCUAACCCUAGUCGGCAGCUGUUACCACAAUAUGCUACAGUCAUGUCUGCAAAAACACUACAGUGAAUGCUAUAGUAUACUACACUCAUGUCUGCAAAAAACCACAACAGUGAAUAGUAUAGUAUAUAAAUAUACUACUGUAUUUAGACCAUAGUAUACUAUAGUAUUUUUUAAUAUGGGUUAGCUGUAAAUGUGUAAUAUGUUGGAUGUUUGAACUAGGACCCAUUUUUUUGUAUUAUUCUCAUCAAAUUUCUAAAUGCAUUGUAUCCACAUUUGUGCUUAUAUUGUGUUUUUAAAUAGUCAAAUAAAAAAAUCAAGGGAUA